UCAAUGUGAAAUACAUUUACUGUUAAUUAAGAUGUAGUAUUUGCUUAUUUAUUUAUUUAUUUAUUUAUUUAUUUUUAAGAUUUUAUUUAUUUAUUCAUGAGAGUCACACAGAGAGGCAGAGACCCAGGCAGAGGGAGAAGCAGGAUCCAUGCGGGGAGCCCGACGUGGGACUCGAUCCGGGGACCCCGGGGUCACGCCCUGGGCUGAAGGCAGACGCUCGACCGCUGAGCCCCCCUGGGGCCCCUCAUGUAUGGAUUUUCAAUUUGCAUGCGUUGUAUUGCACGACAGGCUUUAUUUUACUCCCAGCACUUUUUGACUCUGAGCCCCACUUCCCAGUACCCUCAGGAUGUCGGGUGUCGGUCUGCACGGUCCCUCCGCGGUGCCACCAGAAGCACAGUAUUGCAGGACGUCCCGUUGGCCCGCGUUCCAGCCAAGUGGAGGCCAGUUAUUGAUGGGCUUUCUGGAGCAACAGGGAGGAGUACCUUUAAUGCCCCCCAAACUGUGGGGUCUGGGUCGGCAGGAGGGGACUGCGGGGAGUCAACGCAGUGUCGGAGCACCCUGGGCCCUGGGCCCCGUAGCCCGGCAGCUUCCGGAGAGGCUGACGCCCUGGCAGGACAACGUCCACGCUCUACCUCUGUGACGCCUUCGCCGCCGCAAGAGGCGCACUGAGCCUAACAAGCAGGAAGGUCGGCCCUCAGGCCUGGGAGCAGCUGAGCCUUAGUCCCCAGGCUACGGUUUCGGGGUCUCCUGACACGGAGAGCCUGGGCGCCCAACCCUACUAGGGACCAGCUCCCUGAGUACCCGAGGGGGAGCUUCAAGAAAUGUAGCAAUGGGCACCCGGGUGGCUCAGCGGUGCAGUGUCUGCCUUCAUCCUAGGUCGUGACCCCGGGGUCCUGGGAUCGAGUCCCACAUCGGGCUCCCUGCAUGGAGCCUGCUUCUCCCUCUGCCUGUGUCUCUGCCUCUCUCUGUGUCUCUCAUGAAUAAAUAAAUAAAAUCUUUAAAAAAAAAAGAUGUA
rnacentral:lncRNA from 12 species